AUGAAGCUGAUGAAGAUGAAGCUGAUUCUGUUUCUCUCUCUCGCCUGGAUGAUCUGCAACACAGCAGAAACUCUCCGGUGUUUCAAAGGUUUUGGUCCUGGUGUUCUUGGCCCGUGUCACUUUGCUGGUGAUUGGUGUGCAACUUUUACAAUUACUUCAGCUUUUGAAGGAAGUCCUGCAAAAGAUGUUGAGAGGUCGUGUCUGCCGUCUUUUCUUUGUUCUGCACCCAAUCAGUUUUUGUCCUUCAGUAACGCAAAGUUGUCUUUAGCUGAACAUCUUCACUGCUGCAAAACAGGCGGCUGCAACCACCAGGAUUUCCCAUAUCCAGAACUCGGCAAACCAAACGGCCUCAAGUGUUUGACCUGCACUGGUUUGGGUCCUGAUCAUGUGUGUAACAGCACCGUGGAGUGUGUGGGAACACAGGACCGCUGCGUAGACGUCUACGUGAAACAUGGACACGAAGUUGCUCCUUACGCUGGCUGUGUUUCUUCAAACGCGUGUGAUUUGGUUUCUCAGUUGAAAUUCCGACAGGAUUUUGCUGCUCGUUUUAAAUACACCAUUACACCACGAGUUGCAGGAAGCAGCUUCUGCAGCUCCGCUCACAUUACACCAAGCUUUACAGGAAGCAGCUUCUGCAGCUCUGCCCAGGUUUGUCAUUAUCAACCCUGAUGUUGCUGCUUUGCUGCUUGGUUUGUUCACUAUGUUCGUUUUUCAGAACCACUGUUAAACUCAAGAUCAGACUUUAUUAAUCCCACGAUGGGGAAAUUCGUUUGUUUGCAGCAGCGAUAUAACAUUGAACAAAAACAGUCAAAAACAAGAUAGAAACAAACAAUAUUAAGAUGUACAAGAAAAGACAAGGCACUCGACUAAAACUGAAAAAUACAGAAAGAGCACGUCUCAUCUUAUUAUGCUCUGCUUAUAUGAUCUUAUUUCUGUUUUGAAUCUGUAUGAUGAUGCUGUAAUCAAAUCAUGGUUUUUGCAAAUUUUUCAAAUCCUGUCAAACAUUCUUCUGCGUCUCAUAUUAAAGCUUAAACUUCUUCAAUAAAGCCUUUUCAUAUUCAGUUUCUGAUCCCA
rnacentral:lncRNA from 1 species